rfam:Pan troglodytes isolate Yerkes chimp pedigree #C0471 (Clint) chromosome 20, whole genome shotgun sequence.
GCUGGGUGUGGUGGCUCCCACCUGUAGUCCCAGCAACUCAGGAGGCUGAGGUGGGAGGAUCGCCUAAGCCCAGGAGGUUGAGGCUGCAGUGAACUGUGAUUGCACCACUGCACGAUCACAGAUCACUGCACUCUAGCCUGGGCAGCAGAGUGAGAUCUUGUCUCAA